rnacentral:rRNA from 1 species
AACAUCGCCUCUUGAAUAAAAAUAAGAGGUCCAGCCUGCCCAGUGACCAAUGUUCAACGGCCGCGGUAUCCUAACCGUGCGAAGGUAGCGUAAUCACUUGUUCUUUAAAUGAGGACUAGUAUGAACGGCAUCACGAGGGUUAUACUGUCUCCUCCAUCUAAUCAGUGAAACUAAUCUCCCCGUGAAGAAGCGGGGAUAAACCUAUAAGACGAGAAGACCCUAUGGAGCUUUAAACUUUCCCUCAAGCAUCACAAUAACUUUUCAAGUCACAGACUUUCCUUAUUUAUCCUGAUGCAGUGUAAGCAAGUUUUAGGUUGGGGUGACCACGGAGUACAAAAAAACCUCCACGCUGAACAUAGGCCUCUAAACCUUAAACAAAGGACCACAGCCCAAUGUAUUAAUAAAUUAACAUUCAUUGACCCAAUAUAUUUUUGAUCAACGAACCAAGUUACCCUAGGGAUAACAGCGCAAUCCUCUUCAAGAGUCCUUAUCGACAAGGGGGUUUACGACCUCGAUGUUGGAUCAGGGUAUCCCAGUGGUGCAGCCGCUACUAAUGGUUCGUUUGUUCAACGAUUAAAACCCUACGUGA